CAAACAGCAAGAGGGUUUAUUCAAAUGCACAGGUAAAUCCCUUGUCUGCUCCUGUCAUAUAGAACCUAACUCCCCAAGAUCGCCCAUCGGUCCAUGAAGAGAACUUUGUGCCCUUUGGGGUGAAGGAAAUGUUUAGUGAAUCUUCUCCCUUCCGACUUCGUCCCACCCUGAUGAGAUCCCAACUGGAACUAGGCUCCCAGUAUGCGUCCCCGGUCGUUUCGCAUCCCCAUUUUGCACAAUAAAGAGAUUCUAGUCCCCCA